GAGAACGCUGGCGGCGUGCCUAACACAUGCAAGUCGAGCGGGGUUGAAGCGAGAGGUAACUCGAACUUCUACCUAGCGGCGGACGGGUGAGUAACGCGUGGGCAACCUGCCUCAAGGUUUGGGAUAACAGCCCGAAAGGGCUGCUAAUACCGGAUAUGCCUAUGGCCUCGCAUGGGGCUAUGAGCAAAGGGGAAACCCGCCUUGAGAUGGGCCCGCGUCCCAUCAGCUAGUUGGUGAGGUAACAGCUCACCAAGGCGACGACGGGUAGCCGGCCUGAGAGGGUGACCGGCCACACUGGGACUGAGACACGGCCCAGACUCCUACGGGGGGCAGCAGUGGGGGAUCUUGCACAAUGGGCGAAAGCCUGAUGCAGCGACGCCGCGUGAGCGAAGAAGGCCUUCGGGUUGUAAAGCUCUGUCUGGAGGGACGAACAAAAUGACGGUACCUCCGGAGGAAGCCACGGCUAACUACGUG
rnacentral:rRNA from 1 species